UUUAAGUGUAACCAUAAGUUUUUAUAUCCAAAUUUGAUCGUUUAUCUUAUUUAAAAAAUUUUUGUAAUUAGUGUUUUUGAUGUUAUGAGAUGAUAAAACAUGAAUAGUACUUUACCCGUGACUUAUGCUUUUAAAUUUUUUUAAAUAAGAUGGACAGAUAAAGUUGGACGCAGAAAACCAUGGCUGCACUUAAA
rfam:Oryza glumipatula chromosome 6, whole genome shotgun sequence.